rnacentral:rRNA from 1 species
AUUGAACGCUGGCGGCAUGCCUUACACAUGCAAGUCGAACGGUAACGGGCCUUCGGGUGCCGACGAGUGGCGAACGGGUGAGUAAUAUAUCGGAACGUACCUUUCAGUGGGGGCUAACGUAGCGAAAGUUACGCUAAUACCGCAUAUUCUGUGCGCAGGAAAGCAGGGGACCUUCGGGCCUUUCGCUGAUUGAGCGGCCGAUAGCAGAUUAGCUAGUUGGUGGGGUAAAGGCCUACCAAGGCGACGAUCUGUAGCGGGUCUGAGAGGAUGAUCCGCCACACUGGAACUGAGACACGGUCCAGACUCCUACGGGAGGCAGCAGUGGGGAAUUUUGGACAAUGGGGGCAACCCUGAUCCAGCCAUGCCGCGUGAGUGAAGAAGGCCUUCGGGUUGUAAAGCUCUUUCGGCCGGGAAGAAAUCGUACGGGUUAAUACCCUGUGCGGAUGACGGUACCGGCAUAAGAAGCACCGGCUAACUACGUGCCAGCCGCCGCGGUAAAAC